CCGUUGCGGCGGUGCUAUACAUGCAAGUCGAGCGGACAGAAGGGAGCUUGCUCCCGGAUGUUAGCGGCGGACGGGUGAGUAACACGUGGGUAACCUGCCUGUAAGACUGGGAUAACUCCGGGAAACCGGAGCUAAUACCGGAUAGUUCCUUGAACCGCAUGGUUCAAGGAUGAAAGACGGUUUCGGCUGUCACUUACAGAUGGACCCGCGGCGCAUUAGCUAGUUGGUGAGGUAACGGCUCACCAAGGCGACGAUGCGUAGCCGACCUGAGAGGGUGAUCGGCCACACUGGGACUGAGACACGGCCCAGACUCCUACGGGAGGCAGCAGUAGGGAAUCUUCCGCAAUGGACGAAAGUCUGACGGAGCAACGCCGCGUGAGUGAUGAAGGUUUUCGGAUCGUAAAGCUCUGUUGUUAGGGAAGAACAAGUGCAAGAGUAACUGCUUGCACCUUGACGGUACCUAACCAGAAAGCCACGGCUAACUACGUGCCAGCAGCCGCGGUAAUACGUAGGUGGCAAGCGUUGUCCGGGAAUUAUUGGGCGUAAAGGGCUCGCAGGCGGUUUCUUAAGUCUGAUGUGAAAGCCCCCGGCUCAACCGGGGGA
rnacentral:rRNA from 1 species